UACGAAGGGGGCUAGCGUUGCUCGGAAUCACUGGGCGUAAAGCGCACGUAGGCGGAUUGUUAAGUCAGGGGUUGAAAUCCUGGAGCUCAACUCCAGAACUGCCUUUUGAUACUGGCGAUCUCGAGUCCGGGAGAGGUGAGUGGAACUGCGAGUGUAGAGGUGAAAUUCGUAGAUAUUCGCAAGAACACCAGUGGCGAAGGCGGCUCACUGGCCCGGUACUGACGCUGAGGUGCGAAAGCGUGGGGAGCAAACAGG
rnacentral:rRNA from 1 species